GAGGUAUGAGGAAAACAUGUGAGCAGUCUGAUUUUCAUUGAAGACUGAUAAGAUCCAACUCUGACCUCAAUAAAGCC
rnacentral:snoRNA from 12 species